rnacentral:rRNA from 2 species
UACGAAGGGUGCAAACGUUGCUCGGAAUCAUUGGGCGUAAAGCGCACGUAGGCGGCACACCAAGUCGGAUGUGAAAUCCCUCGGCUCAACCAAGGAAGUGCAUCCGAAACUGGCGAGCUUGAGUACGGGAGAGGAUCGCGGAAUUCCCGGUGUAGAGGUGAAAUUCGUAGAUAUCGGGAGGAACACCAGUGGCGAAGGCGGCGAUCUGGCCUAGUACUGACGCUGAGGUGCGAAAGCGUGGGGAGCAAACAGG